CGAGGAGUAGGGGAGCUUGGUUGUCCCCGCUUCUUUCGGAAAGAAGAGACCGCUGGUUCAAAUCCAGCUUCCUCGACCA
rnacentral:tRNA from 1 species